GAUCUGAGGACAGGAAAGUGGAUUUGAUUUCAUGCUUAGCAAAAUGAGGGUUUCAGCAGAGGAACUUUUUGUGGCGAGGCUACAGAAUCAGAAGGAACAUAUGUCUGGGCAACUGGGAGAUUUUCAGUUUUUCAUGCAGCCAACCAAGACAUUGGGGUUAGCAUCAUCCCAAAUGGCUGGCAAAGAUUGCUUGUAACUGUCAGUGUAGGACAGGAAAGGCAGGUAUAGGUUAGGGAGGGUAUCCAUCGGUGAGCUCUGACUGGAUGUGAGGACCUGUCACACUUGACCAGAGAUGAAGGCUGCAGCACAUUCCUGGAUCAGAGGACUCCAUGUUGGACACCACGACCUGGAAUAGUCCCGUCCUGGAUGGCUGCGGUGAUGACCUAGCCCAAGAUGAACCGACCCUUCUACGAUGAGGACUUCGCCCAAGAUGAACCGACCCUUCUACGACGAGGACUUCGCCCAAGAUGAACCGACCCUUCUACGACGAGAACUCCGCCCAAGAUUAACUUUCCCACCUCUUUUCAAAGGGAUGUCUUCAGAUGCUGGACCUUGCCAAACUGUACACAUGCCUCAAUGGCUGCUACGUCACUCUGCCCAACAGGACAUGGUCAUCGAGGUUUUCUUUUAUUUUUUUUAAAUGAACUUAUCUGCAUGACCCAACAGCAUCGAUGUUUGAGUUAUUUAAUUGCUCAAUUUUUAAAUCAGUCAAGAUUUUAUGAGCUGGGUCUUCUUCACACAACAGAGAACAAGGUAAAUUGAGUCGACUCGUAACAUGGUAAGGCAUUUCGUCCUUCCCCUUCUUCUCUGUGUGUGAGGAAAUCUGGCCAUGACUGAGUGGCAUACCAUGGCUGUGCAGUUUCCAAAAUCAGACAAGGAUCCAUCUGAUUUUGUGACUCGGCUUGUCAUGAUAUGCAUUUAUCUUCCUCCGAAACAAACGGUUGGAAUGGACAGGUUUGUAGUGUAAAUCACAUCACUUGUAGAUGGUGAUGGUGUACAGACACUGCUACUUUCAGCCUGUAAUGUUAGACAUUGAAAACUUGUAUUUAUUGCCUUCUUUAUAUCAAGUAAAACUUUUGUUCUUAACUUUA